AUUUUCUCGCCGCCGGCCGUUUUCCGACUAGUCCCUACCAUGGCGGAGGAAGAUAGUGAUUUUCUGAGCUUAUCCGAUCUAGAAUCUGAGCUAGAUUCAAUCUCUAUCCCUAUGUUCUUCGACAAAAAUCGCCAUAUUUGUUAUUUAGAGAUGAUGCUUGAGCUACUACCUUCACCUUACCAAUCGCAGGAGAUCAAUCGUCUCACUCUUGCUUACUUCGUCGUCUGCGGUCUCGAUAUCCUUCGCUCUCUCGAUCGCGUUGACAAAGAAGGGGUGAUUAAUUGGGUUUUGUCACUGCAAACUCAUCUGCAAGACGAAGCUGAACUGAGCAAUGGACAAUUUUAUGGGUUCCAUGGUUCUAGAAGUUCUCAGUUUCAACCAAAUGACUAUGGGAAUGCGAUCCCAAAUUGCAGUCAUUUGGCAAGUACUUACUGCGCACUGUCCAUAUUGAAGACUCUUGGUUAUGAUUUAACACUAAUGGAUUCCAUGUCAAUCAUCAAAUCAAUGAAAAAUCUUCAGCAACAUGAUGGGAGCUUUAUGCCCAUUCAUAGCGGGGCAGAGACAGACCUCCGCUUUGUAUAUUGUGCAGCGGCAAUCUCUUCAAUGUUGGAAAACUGGAGUGGCAUUGACAAAGAGAAAGCCAAGGAGUACAUAAUAAACUGUCAGUCAUACGAUGGUGGCUUUGGUUUAACUCCUAGUUCAGAAUCACAUGGUGGUGCCACUUUUUGUGCUGUUGCAUCUCUCAGAUUGAUGGGAUUAAUUGAAGAUGAUAUAUUAUCGAAGAAUGUAUCCUCUUGUUUCAUAGACGUGCCCUUGCUUCUAGACUGGUGCCUACAGAGACAGGCAGCCACUGAUGGUGGAUUCCAAGGUAGACUAAACAAAGCUACUGACACCUGUUAUGCUUUCUGGGUGGGAGGAGUUUUAAAGAUCUUGGGGGCUCACAAGUUCAUCGACUAUGAAGGCUUACGUAAAUUUCUUUUCACCUGUCAAUCCCAGUAUGGUGGUUUUGGUAAGACUCCGGAGCAGCUGCCAGAUCUUUACCAUGCCUACUAUGGAUUUUGUGCAUUUAGUAUGUUAGAGGAACCUGGCCUCAAAUCGAUCUGCACUGAGCUGGGUAUAACAAAUGGACCUGUGCAGCUGCUAUAAAUCAUGCUCCACGCUCAUGAUCACAACGAUUUGCAAGGCUCAGGUACAAUUAAGUUGCUUGGAGAUAGAAUUGAUACUUUUUAUCUAUUUCUUUUCGUCUUUUCCGUGUAUUAUUAAAUUAUAGCAUAUUUGAUUCAAGAUUUUUUUUGGCAUUGAUGAUACAGCUUUAUUUUCACCUUGUUUUGUUCAUUUGAAAGUGAUCGCUUAAUUGUUGUAGCAUUUUUGACAUUUUGCUCCGAGAUAGUGGCUUUGUCACAAGUAGUCGCCUAUCUAAUUAUCGGUUUUUCUAGUGGUAAGAGCGUAA
rnacentral:misc_RNA from 1 species